rnacentral:rRNA from 1 species
GAUGAACGCUGGCGGCGUGCCUAAUACAUGCAAGUCGAGCGAAUGGAUUAAGAGCUUGCUCUUAUGAAGUUAGCGGCGGACGGGUGAGUAACACGUGGGUAACCUGCCCAUAAGACUGGGAUAACUCCGGGAAACCGGGGCUAAUACCGGAUAACAUUUUGAACCGCAUGGUUCGAAAUUGAAAGGCGGCUUCGGCUGUCACUUAUGGAUGGACCCGCGUCGCAUUAGCGAGUUGGUGAGGCAACGGCUCACCAAGGCAACGAUGCGUAGCCGACCUGAGAGGGUGAUCGGCCACACUGGGACUGAGACACGGCCCAGACUCCUACGGGAGGCAGCAGUAGGGAAUCUUCCGCAAUGGACGAAAGUCUGACGGAGCAACGCCGCGUGAGUGAUGAAGGCUUUCGGGUCGUAAAACUCUGUUGUUAGGGAAGAACAAGUGCUAGUUGAAUAAGUUGGCACCUUGACGGUACCUAACCAGAAAGCCACGGCUAACUACGUGCCAGCAGCCGCCGUAA